GAUGAACGCUGGCGGCGUGCCUAAUACAUGCAAGUCGAGCGAAUGGAUUAAGAGCUUGCUCUUAUGAAGUUAGCGGCGGACGGGUGAGUAACACGUGGGUAACCUGCCCAUAAGACUGGGAUAACUCCGGGAAACCGGGGCUAAUACCGGAUAACAUUUUGAACCGCCUGGUUCGAAAUUGAAGGGCGGCUUCGGCUGGCCCGUAUGUAUGGACCCGCGUCGCAUUAGCUAGUUGGUGAGGUAACGGCUCACCAAGGCAACGAUGCGUAGCCGACCUGGGAGGGUGAUCGGCCACACUGGGACUGAGACACGGCCCAGACUCCUACGGGAGGCAGCAGUAGGGAAUCUUCCGCAAUGGACGAAAGUCUGACGGAGCAACGCCGCGUGAGUGAUGAAGGCUUUCGGGUCGUAAAACUCUGUUGUUAGGGAAGAACAAGUGCUAGUUGAAUAAGCUGGCACCUUGACGGUACCUAACCAGAAAGCCACGGCUAACUACGUGCCAGCAGCCGCAGUAA
rnacentral:rRNA from 1 species